rnacentral:rRNA from 1 species
UACGUAGGUGGCGAGCGUUGUCCGGAUUUACUGGGCGUAAAGAGCGCGCAGGCGGCUGGUCAAGUCCGAUGUGAAAGCUCCCGGCUUAACUGGGAAAUUGCAUCGGAAACUGAUCGGCUGGAAGGUGGGAGAGGGUAGCGGAAUUCCCGGUGUAGUGGUGAAAUGCGUAGAUAUCGGGAGGAACACCAGUGGCGAAGGCGGCUUUCUGGGCCUUACCUGACGCUGAGACGCGAAAGCCGUGGGGAG